CAUAGCGACUAUCGUGGCAUAUCAAUAAGCGGAGGAAAAGAAACUAACUAGGAUUCCCUCAGUAACGGCGAGUGAAGCGGGAAGAGCUCAAAUUCGAAAUCUUAAAGGGUUUCCCUUUACGAAUUGUAGUUUAAAGAAGUGCUUUCUGUUGGAGUUUCGGUAAAAGUUCUUUGGAAUAGGACAUCAUAGAGGGUGAGAAUCCCGUAUUUGACCGUUACUUUCCAGCUGUGUGAUACACUUUCAAAGAGUCGGAUUGUUUGGGAAUGCAGUCCAAAAUGGGUGGUAAAUUUCAUCUAAAGCUAAAUAUUGGCGAGAGACCGAUAGCGAACAAGUACCGUGAGGGAAAGAUGAAAAGGACUUUGAAAAGAGAGUUAAACAGUACGUGAAAUUGUCAAAAGGGAAGCGUUUGACACCAGUGUUGUUUAGUUGAAAAUCAAUUCAAUAGUUUUUGAUUCUAAGUAGUAUUGACUUCAUCAGCUUGCUGCUUUCUUCCCAGAAAUUAUUGAAUGCACUUUUCAGUUAACAAGUCAACAUCAAUUUCUUUUGUUGUAAAAGGGUAAGAGGAAGGUGGCUUGCGCUUCGGCUCAAGUGUUUAUAGCCUUUUAUCUCUGCAAUCGGAGAGAUUGAGGUCUGCAGCGUAGAUCCUUCGGGGUUAGAUACAUUGGUGCUAAGCUAUAGCCUUGUAUAGACAACUUGUUGACUAUGCUCAGUCAUGUAGCUUACUCGCUGAUGCUAUUUUACCUACGCUUAGGAUGUUGAUAUGCAUGACUGAUAU
rnacentral:rRNA from 1 species